rnacentral:rRNA from 1 species
AACUGCAGUCGAGCGGUAAGGCCCUUCGGGGUACACGAGCGGCGAACGGGUGAGUAACACGUGGGUGAUCUGCCUUGCACUUCGGGAUAAGCCUGGGAAACUGGGUCUAAUACCGGAUAUGACCCCGAAUCGCAUGGUUUGGGGUGGAAAGAUUUAUCGGUGCGAGAUGGGCCCGCGGCCUAUCAGCUUGUUGGUGAGGUAACGGCUCACCAAGGCGACGACGGGUAGCCGACCUGAGAGGGUGACCGGCCACACUGGGACUGAGACACGGCCCAGACUCCUACGGGAGGCAGCAGUGGGGAAUAUUGCACAAUGGGCGCAAGCCUGAUGCAGCGACGCCGCGUGCGGGAUGACGGCCUUCGGGUUGUAAACCGCUUUUGACAGGGACGAAGCGCAAGUGACUGUACCUGUAGAAUAAGGACCGGCCAACUACGUGCCAGCAGCCGCGGUAAUACGUAGGGUCCGAGCGUUGUCCGGAAUUACUGGGCGUAAAGAGCUUGUAGGCGGUUCGUCGCGUCGUUUGUGAAAACUUGGGGCUCAACCUUAAGCUUGCAGGCGAUACGGGCGGACUAGAGUACUUCAGGGGAGACUGGAAUUCCUGGUGUAGCGGUGAAAUGCGCAGAUAUCAGGAGGAACACCGGUGGCGAAGGCGGGUCUCUGGGAAGUAACUGACGCUGAGAAGCGAAAGCAUGGGUAGCAAACAGGAUUAGAUACCCUGGUAGUCCAUGCCGUAAACGGUGGGUACUAGGUGUGGGGCUCCUUCCACGGACUCCGUGCCGUAGCUAACGCAUUAAGUACCCCGCCUGGGGAGUACGGCCGCAAGGCUAAAACUCAAAGAAAUUGACGGGGGCCCGCACAAGCGGCGGAGCAUGUGGAUUAAUUCGAUGCAACGCGAAGAACCUUACCUGGGUUUGACAUACACCGGAAACCUGCAGAGAUGUAGGCCCCCUUGUGGUCGGUGUACAGGUGGUGCAUGGCUGUCGUCAGCUCGUGUCGUGAGAUGUUGGGUUAAGUCCCGCAACGAGCGCAACCCUUAUCUUAUGUUGCCAGCGCGUAAUGGCGGGGACUCGUGAGAGACUGCCGGGGUCAACUCGGAGGAAGGUGGGGACGACGUCAAGUCAUCAUGCCCCUUAUGUCCAGGGCUUCACACAUGCUACAAUGGCCGGUACAGAGGGCUGCGAUACCGCGAGGUGGAGCGAAUCCCUUAAAGCCGGUCUCAGUUCGGAUCGGGGUCUGCAACUCGACCCCGUGAAGUUGGAGUCGCUAGUAAUCGCAGAUCAGCAACGCUGCGGUGAAUACGUUCCCGGGCCUUGUACACACCGCCCGUCACGUCAUGAAAGUCGGUAACACCCGAAGCCGGUGGCCUAACCCCUUGUGGGAGGGAGC